AGAAGAAGAAGAAGAAGAAGAAGAAGAAGAAGACGACGAGGAUGAGGAGGAGGAGGAGGAGGAGGAUGAAGAGGAUGAGGAGGCUGAGGAUGAAACUUUAGAAUUCUUCGCGAGGACGACACUUGGCAAUGGACGUUCGAUGUUUAUUUCUUGAACGAAACUCACCGUUGUCCUUGUACCACGUGUUCGAAGCUCUAGGCGAAGAUUCGACGUAACAUUGCAGAAUGACGUUGCUAUUCGUUGGAGCAGCUACCAAUUGAUUCGUCACUUUGAUCAAGGGCUUAACUGAAUAAUUCCAGACUCGAAGGAUCUCGAGAGUUGUGAGAGCUGUGAAAGUAAACUUUGAACUUAGCGGAAGAUAGCAUUAAAAAAAAAAAAAAGAAAAAAAAGAAAAAAAGAGAAAGCAAGAGAAGAAAAGGAAAAAAAGAAAGAAAGAAAGAGAGAAAGAAAGAGAAAAGUAAAAAAGAAAAAAAAUAGAGAGAGAGGGAAGAGGGAAAAGGAAAAAAAAAUAUUUUAAACGGAGGCGGAGUUCCAUUCGUAGAAAGUAGCAGCAACCAGGAGUGCAUUCACAGAAAGCUCGAAGAGUCUUAAACGUUGGAGCUUAACCAAAGGUUCUUCGUGUACUCGCACUUGAAGGGUAGAACGUGGUCCGCAUUUCCAAACGUUACCAUCUUUGUCGAGUAUACUAGCACUUGCAGUUACUUGAUAUUGACCACCACCGGUGGUCGAAUUGCCGGUAUUAGUCGAUGUACUCGCA